UCUGAUGGGGUUUAGAGAUUUUUGGCUUUGCUUGUGAGCCAUCCCUAAAUGUUUGAGAGCUCAGUGUUUGAACAUUUACCCCUUUCAUUUGCAGGGGAGGCCUUGGGAGCAGCUGAAGAGAGAGGAGCCUUCUAGGUAUCCUAGAAGAUGACAGCACAUUGUCCAAGUCUGGUCAGAGCCAGUGACACGAGGACCUGCCUCGGUGCUGUUGACUCCGAGUACUCUCCCGAUACCAG